rnacentral:rRNA from 1 species
UACGGAGGGGGUUAGCGUUGUUCGGAAUUACUGGGCGUAAAGCGCGCGUAGGCGGAUUAGAAAGUUGGGGGUGAAAUCCCGGGGCUCAACCUCGGAACUGCCUCCAAAACUGCUAGUCUAGAGUUCGAGAGAGGUGAGUGGAAUUCCGAGUGUAGAGGUGAAAUUCGUAGAUAUUCGGAGGAACACCAGUGGCGAAGGCGGCUCACUGGCUCGAUACUGACGCUGAGGUGCGAAAGUGUGGGGAGCUAACAGG